CCCCUCUCAGGAUCGCAUCUGGAGAGUUUCCAGUACUCUACCAGUCUUGGGCUAUGGGAGGGAGAGUCAAGCAAAGGCAUACCCAAUCCAUUCCUAGGUUGGGCAGUGGCUAAUGAUUGGAAGCCAAUCUGCUACAAGU